UACGUAGGGCGCAAGCGUUAUCCGGAAUUAUUGGGCGUAAAGAGCUCGUAGGCGGUUUGUCGCGUCUGCCGUGAAAGUCCGGGGCUCAACUCCGGAUCUGCGGUGGGUACGGGCAGACUAGAGUGAUGUAGGGGAGACUGGAAUUCCUGGUGUAGCGGUGAAAUGCGCAGAUAUCAGGAGGAACACCGGUGGCGAAGGCGGGUCUCUGGGCAGUAACUGACGUGAGGAGCGAAAGCGUGGGGAGCGAACAGG
rnacentral:rRNA from 1 species